rnacentral:rRNA from 1 species
UUUACUAAGUGGAUUAGUGGCGCACGGGUGAGUAAUAUAUAGAUAACGUGCCUCUUAGUCUGGGAUAGCCAUUGGAAACGAUGAUUAAUACUAGAUACUCCUUCUCUUUAUAAUUAGAGUCGGGAAAGUUUUUCGCUAAGAGAUCGGUCUAUAUCCCAUCAGCUUGUUGGUAGUGUAAGAGACUACCAAGGCAAUGACGGGUAGCGGGUUUGAGAGGAUGAUCCGCCACACUGGUACUGAGACACGGACCAGACUCCUACGGGAGGCAGCAGUGAGGAAUAUUGCACAAUGGAGGAAACUCUGAUGCAGCAACGCCGCGUGGAGGAUGACGCAUUUCGGUGUGUAAACUCCUUUUAUCAAGGAAGAAAAUGACGGUACUUGAUGAAUAAGCACCGGCUAACUCCGUGCCAGCAGCCGCGGUAAUACGGAGGGUGCAAGCGUUAUUCGGAAUCACUGGGCGUAAAGGACGCGUAGGCGGGAA